UAUCAAUAAGCGGAGGAAAAGAAACUAACAAGGAUUCCCCUAGUAACUGCGAGUGAAGCGGGAAAAGCUCAAAUUUAAAAUCUGGUGGCCUUUGGCCAUCCGAGUUGUAAUUUAGAGAAGCGUCUUCCGCGCUGGACCGUGCACAAGUCUCCUGGAAUGGAGCGUCAUAGAGGGUGAGAAUCCCGUCUUUGGCACGGCCCCCCAGGGCUUCUGUGAUGCGCUCUCGACGAGUCGAGUUGUUUGGGAAUGCAGCUCAAAAUGGGUGGUGAACUCCAUCUAAAGCUAAAUAUUGGCGAGAGACCGAUAGCGAACAAGUACCGUGAGGGAAAGAUGAAAAGCACUUUGGAAAGAGAGUGAAACAGUACGUGAAAUUGUUGAAAGGGAAACGCUUGAAGUCAGUCGCGUCGACCGGGACUCAGCCUUGCCUCGGCUUGGUGUACUUCUCGGCUGACGGGUCAGCAUCAAUUUYGAUCCUUGGAUAAUGGCAAGGGAAAGGUGGCACCUUUUCAGGUGUGUUAUAGUCCUCUGUCGCAUGCGAGGGUCAGGAUUGAGGAACUCAGCACGCACCUCCAGGUGUCGGGGCCUUUGGCUCACGUUUACGUGCUUAGGAUGCUGGCGUAAUGGCUUUAAACGACC
rnacentral:rRNA from 1 species